AGACCAUGAUGAGAACAACGAUGAAGUAAUUCUUUGUAUCAUUCCCAAGCUUUGUACAACGAUUCAGAAUCUUGCUACAUGAAUGAUGUAAUAUCAUUUCUCAUUUU
rnacentral:snoRNA from 1 species